rnacentral:rRNA from 1 species
AUGACAAGGAGCCAUGCCAAACAAAUAGCACAAGAGGUGAACGCGCUCCUAGCUUAUCAUAAUUCAAAUGACCAUGAGAACUUUAUACUGCCUAAAUCUCGUGUGCUGAUUUUACUUAGGUACAAUGUUAAGGACAACCAACAACAUUCAACACAUGAAGAAACAAGUUUUGGAGCCCAUACAACAAGUUUGAAGAGAACUAGUUUCAACUCUGAAGAAAGCCUUGUUUUGGUGACAAGGACAACUAGUUACACCGCAAGGAAGAAUAUCAAGCCAUCUCAACACUCUAUUGUUGCAUGUGCAGUUCCAGAAUUCAUCCCAGAACUUGCUGAAUCAUGCAACGCAAAUAUAUGA